rnacentral:tRNA from 1 species
CCCUGAUUAGCUCAAUUGGUAGAGCGCUCCACCUGUAAUGGAGAGGUCCCGGGUUUUAAUACCUGCACCAGGCG